rnacentral:rRNA from 1 species
CACCGCGGUUAAACGGGAGACCCAAGUUGAUAGACAACGGCGUAAAGCGUGGUUAAAGUACUAAUUAAAAUAGGGUCAAAUAGCCUCUAAGCAGUCAAAUACUAUCGAGACCACAAAGCACAUCUACGAAAGUAACCCUAAUACCCCUGACCCCACGAAAGCCAUAACA